AGUUUUUAUAUAUGUGUAAUUCCUGAAACAAUUUUGAUGUACCAGUGUUGGGAAUAAAUUAAGAAAUUGCUUAGAAAGUUCUGUCUUAGUAAUGUACAGAUCUCAAUGUAUUAAGCCUAGUACUCAUUAGUUAUUUUUCAUGACACUCUCCCUCCUCCCACCCUCCACCUCCAGUAGGCCCCAGUGUGUGUUGUUCCCUUCUAUGUGUCCAUGUGUUCUCAUCAUUUAGCUCCCACUUAUAAGUGAGAGCAUGUGAUCUUUGGUUUUCUCUUCCUGCCUUAGUUUGCCAAGGAUGAUCACCAGGAAUGCUUGUGAUUUUUUUCACAUUGAUUAUGUAUCCUGAGCCUUUGCUGAAGUUGCUUAUCAGCUUAAGGAGAUUUUGGGCUGAGACGAUGGGUUUUCUAAAUAUACAAUCAUGUCAUCUGCAAAUAGAGACAAUCACCCCUAGGCAAUAUAAGAGUCUCCAAAGCUGUACAUUUUGCAAAUCUUCAAUAUUGUCAGACUUUUUAUAUUUUCUUAAAUGGAAGUUAUGAUAUGGUAUCCCAUACUUCAAUUUACAUUUCUCUGAUUGUUAUUGAGGCUAAGCAUCAUUUUAUUUGUUUACUGAACAUUAGUAUUUUCUUUUCUGUGAAAUUCCUAUUACAAUGUAGUUGCAAACUAUGGAUUCUGGAACUAAACUGCAUUCAAAUUCUGGCUGUGCCAUUCACUAUAUGUGGGAUUUAGGCACAUUAAAAAAAAAAUCUCCCUGCUUAAUGUAUCACCUAUAAAAUAAGGAUUGCAAGAAUAUCUAACUGAUAAUGCUGCUGUGAGGAUUAAAUAAGUCAAUAUGUAUAAUCUGCAUUAAAAGUGUCUCCACAUAGUUACCUAUAUAAGUGUUUAUUAUCAUUUCUUCGGACUGUCUUUUUUGUUGGUUACAAUAUACAAUAUUUAGAAUAUACAAAAUUUUAGUUAAAUUUUUUUAGAAUUUCUCAUUUGUACUUUUUCACAUCUGGCUUAUUGGUAUUGAUAGUCUCUUGCCUGUCAUUGUUUCAGUAUAUUUUAUAUUUCUUUAAAAAUAUUAUUUUAUAUUUUACAUCUGAUCUUUUAACAGCUAAAUUUGCUUUGGGCCUAAUUAUACAUUUUUAGAUGUUUAUCUCAUAUUUCCUCAUGGUGAUUGGUUUUUCUCAUAGUUUAGUAAUUUUCAAUGGUGAGCCUACCUUCCUUGGACAUUUGUGGGAAAACUUUGAGGCCUGGGUUUGAAAUUAUUUCCUACAGAGAUGAAUUGCAUGCGCUUCUCCCGAGUGAUUGUGCUUAAUUAUUGCAAGGGAUAAUAACAACUCGCACUCUUCUUCAAAGGCAUUUUCAAGUUUAAAAUUUGGGGAUUUUGAGGGAAGGUUGUACAAAUGUAGGGUUAUUGAAGAUUUGUGUUUAGAAUUCAGAGACAAUGAUGAGACUGGGUUAAAUUCCCAAAUUCUUACUCUCCUGAGAGUUUUGUUAUUCUUUCAGGUCAUCUACUAAGAAUUCUUUCUUUGGGGAUGUAGAAUAUGAAUAUGGGAUAAUGGGGUAUGGUUGGGGUUAGUGGCCUCUCACGAGCUUUGUUCUAUGGCUUGACUUAGAUGCUAGCAUGCCUAACUCAUUGAAAGCGGGCCUCUAAACUUGCAAUCAUUGGCUCUACUUUCUUUUUCUUUUCUGAUUUCUAAAGCAUUCUCUAAAUUUCUAGCUACAUCAGGCAUGCUUUAAAUAUAUAUCUUUAUAUUUUAUCCAGCAUUAAUAAGUGUACUGUAUCUGGAGUAGUUUUUCUGAACAUUUAAUCCUCAACUGUUCUCUGAAUUUUUAAUCCUUAGCAAGCAUACUCUGAUUUUUCUCACUAGGUAAAUUUAAAUUUCUAAAAGUACGUGGCUGGUGAAAGUCAAUAUCCACUUCGUACGUUUUUUUAUGCAGUUCUAUUAGAACUUUUCAAGUACACAGUUCAUAUGUUCAAACACAUGGUUCACAUCUGAAUUCAAUACUAGACUAUAGAACUAAUCAAAAGCAGGCCAUAUCUGAGGCUAACUAACAGAUCAGGAAGUAAGAAUGGAAAUAGAAACUAUUUAGAGGAAAUAAUGAUAUGUAUGUGUAAAUAUUUUUUGCAUAUUUAUGAAGAAUAAGAGUUUUGAGAUUGGAGAAGAUAGUUUUGAAAAAGCAUUUACAGGAAAGUUUAUGAAACACAAAUGAUUCUAUAUAAGUUUCUUUUUCCUUCUGCUAAAUUAUCAGUUAGAAAACUUAACAAAGAUGAAAGCAAUAAGCCUUGUAUGUUUGAGUUUUCUGAAAUUAUAAGAAGAUAGCUCUUUGUGUUCAAAAUGAGAAAUAUAUUUUAGCUGCUUAUAUAAUAAGUUGAAAUCUAAUAACCUAACUUUUAGAGAAGCGUAAUGUGAGUAUGGAUAUUUCUGAUGUUCAGUUUCCCUUUAUAUGUCCAAUUAACCUUUAUUUACUAAGAAACCAUAGCAUUCUAAUUUGAUUGGCAGCACAAGAGCUGGCGCCAGUAAAGAGAGUUGAGAAACUCUGCUGGAAAAUCAUGGUUUAUUAAUACAUCAUUAAGCACUUUAAAUGGAUUCCAAUGGCGUAUGUCUAAGGAAGGAAAUAAUUCAGCAUUUGUUAGUUACUGACAGAGUACAGAAUUGAAAUUUACAUUUUAAGCCUUACGUUCAAAGUCCUAGCGUGCCAGCAAUUGAAUUACACAUUACAAAAUGAUAGUGUAUGUCAUCUGUCCCUUUACCGGGCAGAACUAUAAAUCUUAAUAAUUAUAUAUGUUUAUCCAGACAAAUGCAUAUUAUCAUGCAGUAAUGUAAUCUAUAAUUAUAAAUAAAAUAAAAAUUAAAUGUAUUUGCAAUAUGUGUACAAUACGUGUGUGAUAGACAUUUAGUACACUUAUUACUUGAUGCUAAAUGAUAUAUACAGUGGAAGUAUGCAAUUUGAAUUGUACUUUACUUUUAAUGAACACAUAGUAAGAAUAUAAGUGAUUUUAAAGCACUACUAUAUUUUCUCUAUAUGUUAACAUUCUAAACCACUUCCAGGAAAAUAAAAAUAACUUUUGAGGUUAGAAAACAUCCACAUCUUUAUUUUAAUUUCUAACAUCAAUCUAUACAAUGAAUGUAUUCAUUAAUUUAUUUCUCACUUUUAUGUUUGAAUGUAUUGGCAAUCUAAGGAUAAAUUAUUUGUAUAUAUAUCUAAUUAAUUCAUGCUUAGAAGACAAAAAAUUUUAGGAGAUUUUUGACAUUUCCAAGUCUUGUAGAAUUUUAAAGUAUUUUUCACCAAAUUUGGGCUCUUAAAUAUGAACAGAUAAAUUCUUCAUGUAAUUUUUUUUACAGUAUUAAAGAUCCUUAAAUAAUUGAAUUUGCAUAACAGUACUCUAAAUGUUUUUCUUUUGGUGUAAGCUGAACUGUGAACUUUUGUUUUAUUUUUGUGCACACAUAGUUUAAACAGAAUUGACUGAUGUACCAAUAACAACCACAUAAUUAAAGUAAUUUGACCUAUGUUGACUAAGCCACUUGAUUGAAAUCAGUGUUUCUCAAACUGUAUACCUUGAUAUUUAAGAAAAGUGAUCUCUAAAUAAUUCCAGGGAACAAAUUGGGGAUUGUAUAUGAGGUAGUAAUAGUAAUUGCUCCCUCAGUUUAUAUCAUAAUUUUUCUUCUUUCAAUCAAAAUUUUUUUCUUCCUCUCUAACCACAGCAUAGAUUUUGAUAUAUGCUAACACUCCACACAUUGUUGUAAUUCAUUGCUAUAUUCUAUCUUUUCCUAAUUUAAGUGAGAACCUGAUCAAUAGAGACAACCAUUUUCAAGGAAAAUUUCAGUGUUUUAAUUCACAGCAUGGGCAUGCAGUGAGGUGGCUGGGGAUAGAGGCAUAGGGACAAUC
rnacentral:lncRNA from 1 species